UGGAAUCAAAGCUGUGAUAGCCAUUAUAUUGGUGCCCCUAUAAAGCACUCGGGGAUGUAGAGUCGGGGUAAGGCUCCUUGCAGGUGAUGAACGUGGCCUAUACAGCAGCGUGAGUGGACUGAGCAACACAAAGUUCUGAGGUAACAGAAGCCUCCCUGCUACUCUUGGGUCUCAUCAAUGAACAAGAAAGUACUAGGAGAUCUUCCAAGCAACUAGACAGUUGGGGUGUCUGCCUGGUCUCUUCUGGGCCUGACUCUGCCAUCCGGUCUCUUGCUAAGAUGCCCCUACCUCCUGCAGGAAGUGGAACCAAUGUGUAUCUCCUGCCCUUCCCCAUGGCUUCCCUCAGAUCCUGUGCGCCUUGACUGUUGGACCUGGCUGUCGGAGGCCAAGUAGAUUCACCUCUGGCUCCACACCCUUUCCUGUUUCCUGCCAUCUAGCGCCAGGGCUGGAGGUAGUGAGAGCGGCUGGGAAGGAAAAUAGAUACAUUUGAUGAAGCACAACAAAUGGCUUCAAAUGCCUUCACUAGGUAACUAGCUUCUGAGGAAGCUAAGCCUUGGGAGAGAGCGCCAUGGAGCAAAACUGAGCUCAAACUGCCCCCCAGUGCCCGAAGAGAGAACAAGAUCCACACAACCCACAUUCAGGAGAAAUCUGGGCCAAAUAUAUCAUAAAGAAACAAGUGUAUUUACACUUUCAAUUACACCUUUUCAUCUCCUGCCACUUCCAGUCUCCCCCUCCUCUCCCUUAUCAACACAAUUCUUCCCCAAAGCCUUUCAACAAUGAGUUCUGCCCCUCAUGGCAGCUGAUGUCCUUAUCACAAGGGGAUAUUUACCACCAGUUGUCCAAGAACGUGUCUACAUUAGAGCCCUGAAUCUCAUUUAUGUUAAGAUGGUGUAAAGGGUUUUAAAGCAAGCAGAAAAACCCUUUAAGCUGCUGGAGAGCUGAAAGUGGCCUGAGAACAAAUGAGAAUUAGGGCUUAGAUAUUUUUUCCCCUUAAAAAUUCCAACUUCUGUCACCAGC